UACGUAGGGAGCGAGCGUUGUUCGGAAUUACUGGGCGUAAAGAGCGUGUAGGCGGUUUUGCCAGUCUGUUGUGAAAUCUCCCGGCUUAACUGGGAGGGUGCAGCGGAAACUAGAAUGCUAGAGGGUGGGAGAGGUAAGCGGAAUUCCUGGUGUAGCGGUGAAAUGCGUAGAUAUCAGGAGGAACACCUGUGGUGUAGACAGCUUACUGGACCGCUUCUGACGCUGAGACACGAAAGCGUGGGUAGCAAACAGG
rnacentral:rRNA from 1 species